rnacentral:misc_RNA from 1 species
UGUUCUAAAAAGCUAGGUAGCCAGCAGGCAUAAAAUGCAUUAAGCAAAGAGAAUAUUUUAAAAAAAAAAAAGUUACUUCAUUUAUGGAAUUAACUAGCUUUGUGAUGAUGUUCACCAUUUGAAUCUGAAUCUUUUAGAUUAUCAGUAUGGAUCUGUGCAUGUAUAUAUUAUCAAAUUGCAUGUACAGAUAAAGGUAAUGGUGUGAAGUAUAGGAAGGAAGAAAGCAAAAAAUUGCAGUGUACAUUUCUUAUGUAUUAAAAUGAAAAACAAUGGUACCCUG